AUAUUGGAGGCGAUGACGUCAGUCAUACGCUUCAAACUCUGAACAAGGAAAUAGUGUUUUGUUUCGCUAUACUUUUUUACACGUUUAUUUAUAAAAAAACUCGGCAAGUCAGUUAAGAACACAUUCUUAUUUACAAUGACGGCCUACCGUGGAACAACUUCCUUGUUCAGGGCAAGAACGACAGAUUUGUACCUUGUCAGCUCGAGGAUUCGAUCCAGCAACCUUUCGCCCCAACCACUAGGGCUACCGCCCCUGUUUGAUGUAGCAAUGUUCACAUCUCCCCUCUCUACCUGUAUUUGCCUCCUGGUAAAGGAACAGAGUCAACAUUUAGCCAGUAGUGUCAUCAGUUUUAAGAUUGCCUAACUUUCAUUACCAUUGAUGGAAUAUGGAUGGAUCUUCCUUUCUAAGAAGAUUUGUUGUUGAUGUAAAGUGCAAAGGCUGGUAGUAUUGGUGAGUUUUUCCCUUUACACUGUCUGUAAACACUAUUAUAGGGCACUGUCUAUUUUCUACUGUCUAUAGCCUACUGUACGACUCACAAUAAAUACAGGAAAUAUGCAUUUGAGAUUCCAUUGACAACAUUGGUAAAUAACUGCUCUACAUUUUCCUUCACCAUAAAAGGAAGAUAAAGGCCAACUGUAUAAGCUUAGACCAGACAGAGAAACAGACAGAAAUCAGCUGUGUGGUCUGAUGACCUGUGACUGAACAAUAUACCCUUUUCUGCACUUGUAGUUUUCCUAAAGCUCUUACCUGAUUUUGGCAUUUAGGCAUGUUCCUGGGCUGUUUUUCAUACUCAAGAGAAACUCUUUGUCUUUAUUUGCAUACAGUUUAGUCUGAGGAGUAGGAUAAGGUUGCAUUGAUGCUUGUGCUAUUUUCUUAUGGGUCAUACUUAUGCAUUCAAAUCAAUCAUGUUUGUUUGCUUGCUUGCAAUAUGUCAUUCGUUUCGCCUUACCUCUCGAUAUAAAUAUUUUAGAAUCUGUGUCGUAUAACUUUUAUAAAUUCUUUCCUGUUUCAUCACAGCAAGGGACUAUAAACCCAAAAUCUUUGGAUAGACUAAUUUAGACAGUGAUGAUCUGAUCACCUUGAACUUAAGACUACACUUAAAGUAGUAUUUACAGUAGUACUAUUACAUUUAAACCUAGAGGACUCACUGACUGGGUUUAGUUCGGGUGGGCAACUCCAGUCCUCGGGGCCUGAUUGGUGUCACAGUUUUGCCCCAGCCCCAGCUAACACACCUAACUCCAAUAAUCAACUAAUCAUGAUCUUCAGUUUAGAAUGCAAUUAGUUGAAUCAGCUGUGUUUGCUAGGGAUGGAGAAAAAGUGUGACAUCUAUCAGGCCCCCGAGUACUGGAGUUGCCCACCCCUGUCCGGGAGGGUGCGGACGGAACUAAACCCACAGUUAGUGACUCCUCCGAGGGGCUAAGCCCCCUUAUGGAGCUGGGCCCGUGUGUAGUGGAUAGCAGAAAAGAGGAAAAUCUGUCAGUAUUAUUGAUGUUUGACGAAGAAUCAUCUCCCUUCACAUGUGAAGCUGGGAUAUGUGAGUUAUAUGGUGUGAGCUUUCGCAUCCAAGCCGUUGUUUUUGUGGAAUUGCAAAAGGUAUGGCCAUGUAUCAAGUGUGUGCCGAAGCAAUGUUGAAGAAUCUGUGGAUGUACAGUGUUGCAAUUGUGCUGGAAAUCAUGUUCCCAAUUGCCUGGAGUGCCCGGUUAGGGUAAAGGAGUAUGAAGUGGCAAGGGUUUGGGCAGCAGGUCUCCUACACGGAGCCACACAAAAUUGUUGCAAGAGCGAGUGAAGCUGAAGAUAUGGCGGUGGAUACCCCGCAGCUUGUGGAAAUUCAGUGUCCAACAAUUGAGGGAAACUGAUAUGCUGAAAUGGAUUAUGAUACUAUAGUUAAUCACAUUUUUUUAAAGUAUGAAAAUUAAAAUAGUUCGCCAUGCAUGAUUAGCAUGAUCCCUAACGUUUGCUAUUUCAAUUGAUCGAUAACUGAGCUAGCCUAAAUGUUAAAGGCUUGUGCGUAUGCUUGGUUCAGUAUGAACACGCACAAAAUGCUAGCAAUAGCUUAGCUAGCCUAAUCUCUAGCAGCUCGUUUUCCUUAUGAAAACUCACCAAAUCCUGGCGUCAAUCUUUCCCUCAAUCACAUCACAGCAUGUUUGUAUAGAUAAGUGACCCCUCCUGUCUCAGCCUCCAGUAUUUAUGCUGUAGUAGUUUAUGUGUCGGGGGCUAGGGUCAGUUUGUUAUAUCUGGAGUACUUCUCCUGUCCUAUUCGGUGUCCUGUGUGAAUUUAAGCGUGCUCUCUCUAAUUCUCUCUUUCUCUCUCUUGGAGGACCUGACCCAGUCCACCUGGUCGUGCUGCUGCUCCAGUUUCAACUGUUCUGCCUUAUUAUUAUUCGACCAUGCUGGUCAUUUAUGAACAUUUGAACAUCUUGGCCAUGUUAUGUUAUAAUCUCCACCCGGCACAGCCAGAAGAGGACUGGCCACCCCACAUAGCCUGGUUCCUCUAUAGGUUUCUUCCUAGGUUUUGGCCUUUCUAGGGAGUUUUUCCUAGCCACCGUGCUUCUACACCUGCAUUGCUUGCUGUUUGGGGUUUUAGGCUGGGUUUCUGUACAGCACUUUGAGAUAUCAGCUGAUGUACGAAGGGCUAUAUAAAUAAAUUUGAUUUGAUUUGAAGUGAGUGCUCUACACUAGCUCUACACGUUCCGUUCUAGCUGUUUUAGGAGAGGGACUAAGAGAAUAUUGAGUUUUGAUUGGCUCAAAAUAAACUGCUGUCAAUUUAAACAUA